AGUUCCUAUUCUGGGCUCUCAGGUUUUGUUUUGGGGCCCAGGACGGGUGUGUUUUUUCUGCUGGAGUGUAGAAGCCAGGAGUCCCUGUUAGUCAGGAGACAGGAGGGUUUCUUUACUCCAGUUUCCAGCAGGGCUGUCUGGUCCUUCUGGUUCUGUUCUAGUUGUUCUCAGACUUUUAGCUCUUCUGGGCUAGAGGCUCUGUUCUCAGCUAUACCUGUAUCCUUUUUGCAAGCCUGCCAGUGAGCGACUUUCAACGGGACUCGAGACGCCCCAGCCCAGUUGGCCCAACAGGAGAGCAGGCCACUCAAAGCCUGCACAGCCUCACAAAGACAAGAGGUGCUGAGCGAAGGCACCUUGAACCUUAGCAGGGGCUUUCAGAGAGCGUGUUUUGCGCAUGCUCCCAGAACAGUCACCUUUUGUACGGCCUUAAUGUAAAAGUUUCAUUUAAAAGACACCAGCUGUGGCCCUAGCCAGGUUUAUUCAGAUGGGACCUUCACUGGGUCAACUUAAUACUUAACUACAGCUUAUUAUCCCAUCAGUCUUCAGGGACAACCCAUGAUCUAAUUGCCCAGCAUUUAUGUUGCUUGGUAACCACAAAUAGAGAAUAAUAGUCCUUAAAGGGGCAGUGUGGAAUUUCGUGCCCCUGCCGUGAAGCACACUUCAUUUCCCACAGCACCCUGUGUUUUUUAAUUCAGUGAGUAAAAAUGUGUAAUGAAUAAUUAAUUAUGUGCUUGGAGGCACAAUAGCUGCCUGCUUUUGAAUAUUCAUCAGUGGCAUUAUUAAUUCACUAGAAAUCCCGGGGAGGAACGGGACAGGCUUUUAGCCUAGCUGGAGGACUUAAAGAUAUUGCUUUGUGCGAGACAAACUUUUUAAAGCUCACUUUUCUUGGGACACAUUUUCUGGGUAAUUUUCCCUCUCUUAGGGAUAUUUUGUCAUCCCCCUGAUUCCUGCGCAGCUGCGGGGGGUUGGGGGUGGGGUGGCGACCAGAUGCCACCUGUGAUCACAAACCAGGCUGGCCUUCACCUGCAAGGUGCAUUAACAAACAAGCCCGAGAAUCCACCCCACCCACCCCACCCCCAGCUCUGCCAUUGCUGAUGCAUUUGCGGCCUAGCCAGACAACAGCAGAGAGCUUUAUGGCGACUUGAAUUUUCUGGGCUUGGGACCCUCUCCGGGCUCACUUAGGGAUGGGCCCUAGGGACUAGCUCUGCAACCUCCCACCCACCCUCUUGGCUGCUGGUUGGAGUCCCGCUAGUAAGUUAGGCUUCCAGUAACUCUAUCUGUCCUGUUCAGCAUGUGAAGGUCGCACAUAGGCUCUCCGGUGCCCACUCCUCCCUUCUCCCUUAUCUGCCUUCCCACUAUGGGAGGCAACCUGGUCUCAGCCCGAAGACUACACUUCCCAGCCUCCUUCGCGGCUAGGCAUAGUCAUGUGACAUUCUGGCCAAUGAGGUGCGUGCAGAAGUUUUUGGGCAAACCUGUGGAGUCUUCUUAAAGGGCCUUAAAGGGGCGAAAGGGCCUUCUUUGCCCCCUACAGCCUGGGCUGCAGAUGAGGUGGCCGAAGCUUGACAGCUGUCUUAGUUCACGAGGUAACUGAGAAUGAAAACAAGAAGCUUAGAUUCCUCAGCACCUGCUCGGAUAGGACUGAAAGUUCUUUGAAAAAUUCAUCUCUUUAAUAAUGAAACAACGGCCUGAGGGAGGAACGUGGAAACAGAAGAUUUACAGCCAAAGCCCAGAAGGAGGCUGCGGACUUCUUGAGUCUCCUGAGGACCUGCGGGUCUUCACUGGGAAAGGAAGGGUUGUCCACGUGGCUUAGCAUCUCAUCUCUACAACCCGAGGUUGCAGUCCCUAAUGCUGACCUUUACAUUGGCGGAUGUGAGGAUCGUUCCAACGUGGCUAGACUCUGAAAGAUGCCCUUGCUUCUGUCCAGGGUACGAGAUCGCACCCAUACUUUAUCCGGCACGAGUGGGCAGAGCGCUUCCUGGGAGAAGCCAAACCCUGGCUUCAGGAGCCGGACAUGUGGAAACGGGAGCUUUGUCGGGUCUGAGGAACAAAGCAGGCUAGCCACCCGCACAGUGAACUUGAGUGAUUGUACACACCAAUUAUAGCUACUACAGCCUUCUGUAGCAACUUCCUGCUCUGUUCCCACCGAGCAAGAGGCCCAGCCUCUCUGGGUUCUGGGCAGUUUGUGGCUUUCUCAGCAAGCAUUCCAAGAAGGAGACUCGCUUCUGGAGUUGGACCCUGAUUUCCGUUUGUCCCUGCAGAUGAGGUGACUCAAAGUCUCCUUUCAACGUCCAUUCAUUAUCUUGCUGGGGGCCUGCUAGUUUAUUGACGUGCCCCACCAAGGCCCCCAGAAUGGUCACUCGGAACAGUUACACAUUCCCAUGACAGAACUUCUGGCUCUGGCCCUCUGGCGUUCUGAUUAAAGCCCUCUACCUUUGUUGCAGGAAGGCAUUGCCUGUCUAUAGACAUCAGAUGCUGUAGUGGGCUGACCCUUUCUCAGUUGGCUGGGUCGUGACUGGGCCACUGUUUCUAGUCAUUGGCAGCUUCUCACCACAUGCCCCUUCAACCCUCUUCUCUGUCUCGAGACUGAUCCCAUAAUCUCCCAGUCAAUGGUGGGUCAGCAUUCCAGCCCCCUGCUACCCAAGAAUUCCGUGGACUGGCCAUGCAUGAGAUUUAUCAGAGGGCCUAGCAGACUCAGCCUGGAUCCCCAACUGACAGCACUUGUUUCUGGAUUUCUUCCUUGCUUGCCCUAUUCCCCUACCCACCUCUCCUGGGCUUCCUGGAGGUUCCUUCAGAGUGAGUCCCUUGCACCAGUGUCCUUAUGUCGACAUCUAUUCCAUUAGUAGGGUCUCUCUAGAGGGACAGAACUAAUAGAGUGAAUAUGUAUUAAGCGGGGGGGGGUUUAUUAGAUUGGCUUCCAUGAUAUAGGAGACCUAUAGAUAUAGUAGUCAUCAUAUCAGAGAGACUGAGAACCGUGGCUGUUCUGUCUAUGAGGCUGGAUGCCCCAACAGUACCAACCUGGUACUGGAGGCCUGGCGGGUUCCUAGAGAGCCACUGGUUUACAGUGGGAGGCUAAGGAAGUGAAGUUCCCAUGUCGACCAAGGAUAGUGGUGGUGGUGGCGGCAGCAGCAACAGCAGCAGCAGGGUAGAUGCAUCCACAGUGAGGUCUUUCUUUCCACCGUGUGCGUCCCAGGGAUUGAAGCAUCAUCAGCCUUGACCACAGGCACUUUACACGCUGACCCAUCUCACUGGCCCCAAGAUUGAUUAAUUAUGAAAAAGAAACAAGGACUGGAGAGAAGGCUCAGUGGUUAAGAGCACUGACUGCUCUUCCCGAGGUCCUGAGUUCCAUUCCCAGCAACCACAUGGUGGCUCCCAACCGUCUGUAGUGAGAUCUGAUGCCCUCUCCUGGUGUGUCUGAAGACAGCCACAGUGUACUCAUACAUAAAACAAAUUAAUCUUUAAAAGAAAAAGGGAAAGGAGCAAAUACAAUUGUACUCAAAUCGCUAACAGAUGCAGCCUUAUUUGUACCUCAAAGAAUUCUAAGAAAUGUGUUGAUGAUUCAUCACCAGUAAAUUUUUAUUUGGAUAUUUUAUAUACCUACGUGAAAAAAUUUUUUUCUUGCGUACAAAGGCGUUGUAGCUGGAAAAACGGGCAAGAAACUCUAGCAUAAGUCUUCAUCAGUUAAUCAGGGAAAACGAUCUUGCCUUCUGUCCUUAGUCCGCUUGAGACAGGAAGUGACUUUUACAGGUAUCUUUUAUUCCUGGAAGCAUCACAUUUUGUGCCAGUUUAACUGAGUAAGAAAGCAAGGAAAUUCAGCCUUCGAGAUCUGUCCCCCCACCCCCACCUCUCUGCUUUAAGAGAGGAGUGGAGGAGUCAUGAAUAAUAAAUAGGGAGAUAAGAGAAUGAAACUGGGAAAUCAAUUUACUGCAAAGUAUUUGCAUAUUUUAUUAAAAGAAACUGUGUCUGAGAUCCAUAA